rnacentral:rRNA from 1 species
GACGAACGCUGGCGGCGUGCCUAAUACAUGCAAGUCGAACGAGAGCGACCGGUGCUUGCACUGGUCAAUCUAGUGGCGAACGGGUGAGUAACACGUGGGUAACCUGCUCAUCAGAGGGGGAUAACAUCCGGAAACGGAUGCUAAAACCGCAUAGGUCUUCGAGCCGCAUGGCUUGAAGAGGAAAAGAGGCGCAAGCUUCUGCUGAUGGAUGGACCCGCGGUGCAUUAGCUAGUUGGUGAGGUAACGGCUCACCAAGGCCGUGAUGCAUAGCCGACCUGAGAGGGUGAUCGGCCACAUUGGGACUGAGACACGGCCCAAACUCCUACGGGAGGUAGCAGUAGGGAAUCUUCCGCAAUGGACGCAAGUCUGACGGAGCAACGCCGCGUGAGUGAAGAAGGUGUUCGGAUCGUAAAACUCUGUUGUUAGAGAAGAACAAGUGCUAGAGUAACUGUUAGCGCCUUGACGGUAUCUAACCAGAAAGCCACGGCUAACUACGUG